UCCCGCCCCAUUUUAUAUGAGAGCGAGAGAGACCGGAGAAAAGCCCACAAGGAAGAGAAAUGAUGAGUUCUGGAACUGGUGGUUCAUCCAAGAGAAGUAAAACCAAGUCCUGCAACUCUGGUUCAGCCCCGAAAUGCAAGAGAAACAGGGAACAAAAAGCCCUAGGUGUGGCUUGGGGCGCCAAUUCCUUCUCUGCCUUCUCCUUCUCCUCCACCAAGAAGCGGAGGAAUGCACCUUUCUCUGACUUUGCCUCUUACAUGGAGUCCAAAGAGCGCAAGCUCCGUGUUCAGUUCGAUGCUGAUGCAUCUAAUUCAUCCAACAGAGAUUCCGAUGUAAACAAAUGUAUUUUUCAUGGAAUUUCAAUCUUCGUGGAUGGGUUCACAAUUCCUUCCAGUCAGGAGCUUAGGGGUUUUAUGUUGAAACAUGGGGGCCGCUUUGAGAAUUACUUCUCUAGACAUCGUGUCACGCACAUCAUUUGUAACAACCUGCCGGAUAGUAAACUAAAGAAUCUCAGGGCGUUCAGCAGGGGCCUCCCAAUUGUGAAGCCUGCAUGGCUGCUGGACUGCAUUGCUGCUAAUGAACUUUUGAAUUGGGUCCCCUACCAACUUGUUCAACUGGGCAAGGACAUUCCUAAGCAACAGAAAUUGCCUACAUAUUUCUCUCCUAAGAGUGUCUCAACAUCAAAGUCUUUUGAAACUCCUACAAAAUCUCAUCUGAAAAUUUACACUGAUGGAAUGUCUACAAGCAGUGAAGGAUCUAUAGAUAAGGAUAGUGAUUCAUUAACUGGUGGGUCCAACCAUGAAAAAGUUAAUGAUGGUUGUUUAGAUAAUAAAAAGAAAAGAGAGCCCCUUGUACUAACAGCUGAAGAUGCUGAGAAAUCUAGAUGGUCACAUGUUAAGGGUUCAAUGUUAGUUGCAAAUAUACUUGAAGCGACUUCAACAGUUGAAGAAGCGGAUCAAUCUGAAUGUUCACAUGUUAAGGGUUCAACUUUGGACGCAAAUAAAUUUGAAGGGACUGCUGAUGUGCUCAUUGAAGACUCUAUUCAUGAGCCUGCAAAAAUCUACGAUGCUAGAAAUACAGAAGUAAAUUCCAGCAAUCUGGAAGAUACAUGCAGUGAAAAGGUGGUCUCCGAAUCCAGUUCUCAUACAAAAUCAAUUACUGGUGGUAACAUCUGUUCUGAUAGUAAGAAGAUGAAAGAUCACAACUCCACAAGAUUUUCUGGUCAAUGGAAUUCAACUCUUCGAGAUGUGAAUUUUGUUGAAAACUAUUUUAAGAAUUCAAGGCUGCACUUCAUAGGAACCUGGAGAAACCGGUACCGCAAACGUUUUCUUAACUUAUUGCACGGAGAUCAUCAUGGAAAUUCUGCCGUUGAUGCUCUCAAUUGCACCCAGAGCCCUACUAUUAUCCAUAUUGACAUGGAUUGUUUUUUUGUAUCAGUUAUUACAAGAAACCAUCGUGAUUUAUGUGAGAGUCCAGCAGCUGUAUGCCAUUCAGAUAAUUUAAAAGGAACAGCAGAAAUAUCUUCUGCAAAUUACCCGGCGCGCGAUUAUGGAGUUAAAGCUGGUAUGUUUGUUAGAGAUGCCAAGGCUCUUUGUCCUCAUCUUCAGAUUUUUCCAUAUGAUUUUGAAUCUUAUGAGGUGGUUGCUGACCAGUUCUAUGAGAUUUUGCAUAAGCAUUGCAACAAAGUGCAGGCAGUUAGCUGCGAUGAAGCAUUUUUGGAUGUUUCAGAUCUGGCGCACAAAAAUCCUGAGCACAUUGCUUCCAUUAUCCGACAAGAAAUAUUUGACACCACAGGGUGUACAGCCAGUGCAGGAAUUGCCGGAAAUUUUCUCAUGGCUCGAUUGUCUACGAGGAAAGCUAAACCUAAUGGUCAAUAUUUUAUCUCUUCUGCCAAGGUGGAUGAGCACCUUAUUGGUCUCCCAGUUAAGGAGCUCCCUGGAGUAGGACGUGCCUUAGAGGAGAAAUUGACAAAUCGGAAUAUUCGAACUUGUGACCAUCUUCGUGCCAUUCCUAAGGAAGUUCUCCAAAAUGAGUUUGGUGUAAAGAUUGGUGAGUUGCUGUGGCAUUAUUGCAGGGGAGUUGACAAUCGCUCAGUUCAAGUGGUUCAGGAGAACAAAUCUGUUGGGGCUGAAGUGAACUGGGGUGUGAGGUUCAAUGAACUAAAAGACAGUCAAGAGUUUCUUGUCAACCUAUGCAAGGAGGUCUCCCUUCGCUUGCAAGGAUUAGGACUGCAAGGGCGCACCAUAACACUUAAGGUGAAGAAAAAGAAAAAGGGUGCUCCGGAUCCUGCAAAAUAUAUGGGAUGUGGCGACUGCAAAAAUCUUAGCCAUUCCAUGACAAUUCAUGCUGCUACAGAUAAUGUAGAUGUGCUUUUAAGGAUAAGCAGGCAACUUUUUUCUUCCCUUAAUUUAGAUGUAAGAGAAGUAAGGGGUUUAGGCUUGAUGGUGUCAAGGCUGGAAACAGCAGAGUUCAUGCAACAAGGUAGUGAAAGAAAUGGUUUGAGAGCAUGGCUUGCUUCAGCCUCAGAAACUAACAAAGAAUCAUGUAAUAUAGUUCAUUCUGCCAAUGAUAAUGUAUCUAAAGGGGCAUUGUCUGUUGAUGGUUAUGGGAGUUCCAGUUCAGUUCAGCAUGAAACACAGUUUGCUCAAAGCUUUGCACAAGCAAGCACAAAGGUGAUGAGUUCCUCAGAAAAAGGGAAAUGUAAAGAGAUGGUCUCCCCACUAGUACCAAUGUCUCAGCUUGAUUUAGAAGUCCUGGAGAGUCUGCCACAUGACAUCCAUUUUGAGAUUAAUCAAAUGUAUAAAGGCAAACUUACUGACUUGAUGGAAAAUUGUAAAUACAUAAGAAACGAUGUCCCCCCUGUAAAAUCGAUUCCAGAAGCAAUAAAGGAGAACCCAUCUGCAAGUUGCUCAAAAUCUCUACCUGAUGGUCCUUCCAAAGCAAUGCGUCAUUGUCAUAGUGAUCUCUCAGAUUCAACAUCACAAUUUAAAAUUUCGGUCAAGCAUUCAAUAGGUUCUCCUGUCACUGACCAUGUUACUCUUCCUGCUAAACAUAAAGUAGAAAUAGAAAACCUUGAGAGGAUCGAAGCAGCCUCCAUUUCUCCCACUGGAGACAUAAAUAUGCAUGCUACCAUCAUGAAGGGGAACAUGGCAGAUGUGAUGCCUGCAUCUACACGUAAAGUCGCCAGAUCAGUUAUACGAGAUUUGCCCGAUAAUUUACACCAUGAUAUUCUUGAUUCACUUCCUGUGCAUUUUCAAAAAUCUGGUGAUUCUAUUUUAGUUUGCGAGAAUGUUUGCCCUGGUGAAAUAUUCAAGUCAGACACUACUGAAAGCUCUAGGGGAAGGAUGGGUAGUGUUGUUAAUAUACAUAUGUGGAAAGGGAAUCCUCCGUCUUGGAUUUCGAAGUUUAAGCAUAGCAACUUCUUAAUAUUAAAUCUUUUGGCAGAAUAUUACAGCAUGUUUGGCGAACCUGGCCUGCUGUCCAAUACUCUGCAACGUCUCUUAUCGGCCCAAGCUCUAGAUCUUGAUGCUGGGAAUAAUGAAUGGGAUAAGGCUCUAUCAAGUUGUUGUGAGCUUCUUACACAGUACAUUGAGCUAAAAAUUAAAUCAGACAUGGAGGAGAUAUUUAUUUGCUUUCGGCUUCUGAAAAGGUUUUUUGGAAAGUCGAGUUUUCUCACAGAAGUAUACAACAGAGUCCUUCCUUUUCUGCAGGUGUCUUAGAAGUUGCACUUUUCUUCUUACUAUACAGAGCUAGAGUUACCUAUCACCUCCCCAAGUGUCAGAUGUCAACAAAGGACACUUUGGGACUGCCAUUCAACCAUGUGAAAAGUCCAUCAAAAAUUUAAACCGAGGACUGAGACGCCUCAACCAUCCCUUGUUGACAUAUGAUGGUUGCAAAGAUGUUAGGAAAUUGUGGGAGAUGCAAGUGCUACCAUUGUUUGUAAACCUUAUUUAGAAAUGGCAAUGAGAGGGGUUUCCUUUACCUUUAUAUUGAGAAGAUUUUAUCAGAGAUCCCAUCUGGGAAACAGAUUAUUCUGAACCUUAUGCAUCAAAUCAUGCCGAAAAAUAUUAAAUUGUCUUUGGCUCUCAGCUUUUGGCAAAGAGAAUGUCGUGAAAAGUUGAUCUGGUCAGAGAGGCCAAUAACAACAGAAAAAGCAGUGAAGCUUAGGCUAUGGAAGAAACUUUGUUACUUAAAUCUGCACUGUGGCUCAAAUAUUGAUCAAAUUUUCUUGGAGCUAAUAUCCUACAUCCAUUCCUUUCCUUGAGCUCUCCUCAGUUUGCAUCUGCUGGUGAAAAUUAUGGAGGGAACUUAUUACUUUGACAUGCCAUUGGAAUGGGCCGCAGAUAAUAUCCUCAUUCUAUUUCUGAGAA